GUCACAUUCCUCAUAAAGCUGACUCUAUAAACUAUAACACAACAUGUGAGAACCCAGAUUGUCCAUUCCUGUGGAUCAUCAUCCCUACGGCCGCCAUCAGCAUGCUGGUAACAACAAUCUUCACCCUGCUGAUCAUCCCGAGGGUGAAACACUGGAUUUGCAGCAGAAUGACAGGAAGCAGAAUGACAGGAAGCACCCUGCAGGCGUCCGGUGAAUAUGUGUAUGAAACUAUGACCAAGAACGGAGUACAACGUCCAGCAGUUGCAGAGCAGUCAUUGGAUAGCCCAUAUGGUAUAGUUGCUUAGAAAAGCAGAUCAGACAUGUUUCCUUGGUAACCAUUUUCGUCUUUUUUAUUGAGUGUUUUCUGCUUUAACUUUUCAAAGUAAUUCAAUCCACAUUUUGCAUAAGACAAAAACGUUAAAACUGUUGUGAAAGUAAUAUUAGUUUCAGUGAUUAACAUUUGAACGCAUUUGUUUGUAAUGGUCUUGUUUUGACUGUGUUUGACUGCUUAAUUAAUUUGUGCUUUCACAAAGUGCUUGGUGGUCUCAACUCAUAUCCAAAGUAGUUAAUUAUCAUUAACACAUUGAAAGGAUUUAGGUGUUACUGGAAAUUAUUUGCUUGGCUCUUUAACAAUUUAUGCUGUACAAUCACAAUAAGCAAGACACACAGCAGAGAAAAUCAAAACUGUGCUCUAAAACUAUACAAAUGUAAAUAAGCAUCAUUAUAAAGAAGAUGGAUGGAUUAGAUGGAUAAUUUGCGUAUGUCCUCAUAUAGUUCUAAAUAAAAUCUAAUAUAACUCAUACAUUAAUAAUAGUGUUAUUAGGCUGAGCACAAAUAUGGAAAAUGGUAAACAUAAAAAUGAAAAGGUAUGAUGAUGAUGAUGAUGAUGAUGAUGGUUAUUGUUGUAGUAGUAGUAGUCAUUUGUUCAUUGGGACUAUGUACUGUGUGAAACAUAAAUGUUACCAUUUGAUGUAGGUCACCUUAUAGCUAAUUUUCAUUUGCAGUCCCUUCAGUAGGUUCAUAUUAAAACAUAUAACAACACAAUAACUAACAGUACAAAGC